GGAUUAGAUACCCUGGUAGUCCACGCCGUAAACGUUGGGCACUAGGUGUGGGGGGCCUUUUCCGGGUCUUCCGCGCCGUAGCUAACGCAUUAAGUGCCCCGCCUGGGGAGUACGGCCGCAAGGCUAAAACUCAAAGGAAUUGACGGGGGCCCGCACAAGCGGCGGAGCAUGCGGAUUAAUUCGAUGCAACGCGAAGAACCUUACCAAGGCUUGACAUGUGCCGGUCGGCUCCGGAGACGGGGUUUCCUCCUUGUGGGGCCGGUUCACAGGUGGUGCAUGGUUGUCGUCAGCUCGUGCUG
rnacentral:rRNA from 1 species